GAUGAACGCUGGCGGCGUGCCUAACACAUGCAAGUCGAGCGAUUCUCUUCGGAGAAGUGCGGCGGACGGGUGAGUAACGCGUGGGUAACCUGCCCUGUACACACGGAUAACAUACCGAAAGGUACGCUAAUACGAGAUAAUAUACUUUUAUCGCAUGGUAGAAGUAUCAAAGCUUUUGCGGUACAGGAUGGACCCGCGUCUGAUUAGCUAGUUGGUAAGGUAAUGGCUUACCAAGGCGACGAUCAGUAGCCGACCUGAGAGGGUGAUCGGCCACAUUGGAACUGAGACACGGUCCAAACUCCUACGGGAGGCAGCAGUGGGGAAUAUUGCACAAUGGGCGAAAGCCUGAUGCAGCAACGCCGCGUGAGCGAUGAAGGCCUUCGGGUCGUAAAGCUCUGUCCUCAAGGAAGAUAAUGACGGUACUUGAGGAGGAAGCCCCGGCUAACUACGUGCCAGCAGCCGCGGUAA
rnacentral:rRNA from 1 species